rnacentral:tRNA from 1 species
GCCCAGGUGGCGGAAUUGGUAGACGCACUACCUUGAGGUGGUAGCGCUUUCGGGCGUAGGGGUUCGAGUCCCCUCUUGGGCACCA